rnacentral:rRNA from 1 species
UACAGAGGUCUCAAGCGUUGUUCGGAUUUAUUGGGCGUAAAGAGCUCGUAGGUGGUUCGGUAAGUCGGAUGUGAAAUCUCCAGGCUCAACCUGGAGGGGUCAUUCGAUACUGCCGUGACUAGAGUUCGGUAGAGGAGUGUGGAAUUCCUGGUGUAGCGGUGAAAUGCGCAGAUAUCAGGAAGAACACCCGUGGCGAAGGCGGCUCUCUGGGACGUGACUGACGCUGAGACGCGAAAGCGUGGGGAGCGAACAGG